AGCGAACGCUGGCGGCAGGCCUAACACAUGCAAGUCGAACGAACCUUUCGGGGUUAGUGGCGGACGGGUGAGUAACACGUGGGAACGUGCCUUUAGGUUCGGAAUAACUCAGGGAAACUUGUGCUAAUACCGAAUGUGCCCUUCGGGGGAAAGAUUAAUCGCCUUUAGAGCGGCCCGCGUCUGAUUAGCUAGUUGGUUGAGGUAAUGGCUCUCCAAGGCGACGAUCAGUAGCUGGUCUGAGAGGAUGAUCAGCCACAUUGGGACUGAGACACGGCCCAAACUCCUACGGGAGGCAGCAGUGGGGAAUCUUGCGCAAUGGGCGAAAGCCUGACGCAGCCAUGCCGCGUGAAUGAUGAAGGUCUUAGGAUUGUAAAAUUCUUUCACCGGGGACGAUAAUGACGGUACCCGGAGAAGAAGCCCCGGCUAACUUCGUG
rnacentral:rRNA from 1 species